GUGUCAGCAGCCGCGGUAAUACGGGAGUGGCAAGCGUUAUCCGGAAUUAUUGGGCGUAAAGCGUCCGCAGGCGGCCCUGUAAGUCUGUCGUUAAAGCGUGGAGCUCAACUCCAUUUCAGCGAUGGAAACUACAGGGCUUGAGUGUGGUAGGGGCAGAGGGAAUUCCCGGUGUAGCGGUGAAAUGCGUAGAUAUCGGGAAGAACACCAGUGGCGAAGGCGCUCUGCUGGGCCAUAACUGACGCUCAUGGACGAAAGCCAGGGGAGCGAAAGGGAUUAGAUACCCCUGUAGUCCUGGCCGUAAACGAUGAACACUAGGUGUCGGGGGAAUCGACCCCCUCGGUGUCGUAGCCAACGCGUUAAGUGUUCCGCCUGGGGAGUACGCACGCAAGUGUGAAACUUAAAGGAAUUGGCGGGG
rnacentral:rRNA from 1 species